UACGUAGGGUGCAAGCGUUGUCCGGAAUUAUUGGGCGUAAAGAGCUCGUAGGCGGUCUGUCGCGUCUGCUGUGAAAACUCAGGGCUUAACCCUGAGCUUGCAGUGGGUACGGGCAGACUAGAGUGCGGUAGGGGAGACUGGAAUUCCUGGUGUAGCGGUGAAAUGCGCAGAUAGUCAGGAGGAACACCGGUGGCGAAGGCGGGGUCUCUGGGCCGUAACUGACGCUGGAGGAGCGGAAAGCAUGGGGAGCGAACAGG
rnacentral:rRNA from 1 species